AAACGUCGUGGCUGGCAGGGUAGGAAGGGAUGCGUGUCCAGAGCUCCCUCUUUGCCCACUAGCAGGGCAUUAGCUGGUGCUGAAGACAGUGGCUGCUUGGCGAGCCUGGAUCUCCAAGUGACCCCCUCAGCAACUCCUGAUGAACAGGACUGAAGCCAAUAUUAAAGCAAGUCAACCAAAGGUUCUCUGGUGUAGACAAGACAGCAAAAGGACAGACUACCUUGUGGAACCUAGCAUUGUUCUCCUUCUGCAGCACUAAGUAACAUUUGUUCUCCGUUAAGAUCUUUGCAAACCACACACAAGAAUUGCUGGUCAUCCUGCCAAUAGAUGCUGCUCACAGAACCAAAUUUCCUGUGCUGAAUUGUCACUCAUGGGCUUGAGAGUAGGAGACUGGAGACCAAGGUGGCUAGAAUCCAGUUGGGCCUGAUGUCUCCCUGUUGAAAGGGCUCCUUGUGGAAUGAAUAGCACAUGGCUCCUGUGGUGGAUCUGAUAGUGGCAUAGCACCAAGUGAUGCAGGCCUGCCAGGGGCCACAGACACAGAAGAUGCUCCCGGGGUCCCCCAUGUACUCCAGACACACUGCAGGCCACCUCUCCCAGCAGGUUGCCAGUCAUGGGCCCCAUCAUCAUGACUUCUGUCCAAGGUACUGUGUGCAGAAAUGUGAUUGAGAUUCAAGUCAGGGCCUCUCUGCCCUUUUCCCUCCAGAAACAAAACCAAGAUAAUUUAUCCUGAACACGGUGAAAAAAGGAAGGGAGGGAGGAGAAAAAGUCCGGGUCUCACCUGGGAUUCUCUGUCUCCUGCAACAUGAAGGAUUUAGCCUGGGAGGAGGUGGUGAGAACUCUGGGAGAGAAAAAAGAAGGAAAGAAUAGUUUUACCCAUGCUGAAGUUAAUUUAAACCUUCACCUAGAGAAGCAAAAAAAAAAAACCCACACUUUCCCAUUUUGUGCCUCCCUUCCUAGAGUUUUAGCCAAAGGUUUAGCUAAGUAAUUGGUUUUACCAGCGCACUCACUCCUCCUAUCCCAAGUCUGUUUGACUCCCUCCCCAUCAUCCUCCUCACCUCUUUUCAGGCAGGGUGGGGAUAGCAGCAGGAGGAGAUUUUGGGAGCCUGGCAACUCCUGCAAGGACCGCAGGACAGCCCCUCUGUGGGGAUGCGUGGUGCCCCAUCUGCCGCCCUUCUGAAGAAUGCACUGCCUUCACUUUUUACUGUGUUAGAGUCCAUCCAGACUGUUCUAUCCAAAAAAGUUUCUUUUUCCCCCACAGGCAAUCAGGAAAUGAUUCCUUUCCCGACUGCUUCUGUCUAGUGCCUGGGAAUCUUGAGUCAAUCCCUCAGUAAGUCAGUGACUAGGGAAAUCCCUCUCUGAGCCUCCCAGUUCAUGUUGCUUAGGGAACCUGAUAUUUUCGUGAAACCUGCCUACACAUGGGCAGCCCAACAGCAGAACAAAUGGUGGUGACCAAAGUGAACAAAGAAGUAUAGUUGUGCCAGCUUCGUAGUUGCCCAUGUGGACAAGUCAGCAGGAUCAGGACACGAGGAAGAGUAAAUGUGAGACAGUCAAUGUGACUUCUGCGAUAAACAGAUUUUUAAACCCCGAAAUUUUGCAAAAUUUUGGUGAAACCUGAACUUUCUUCGUUGCAUAUACUGGCACUAUCUGUACCAUCAUACAACUGUCUCACAUUAAAGCUAUUUUUCUUGGGCACUGAUGAGUAAGGGACUUGCACUUAGGAAUCUGUUACAGUGAGCACAGAAGCAGACCUGUGGGCUCAUAGUCUUCACCCCCCACCCAUAUAUACAAGAUGAACAGAGUGGAGGUUAAACAACUUGACUAAACAACACAGUUCAUGGUAAAGCCCAAGACUGUACCUGCCCAUCCACUGCCUUUUCCAUGUAUCCUGGAACUGAGCAUAGACCUCUUCCCAGGCAGAGCUGACAGCAAGUAAAGGAGAUCAUAAUCAGGGGACCAAACAACUUUGUCUAAAGUGUGAAUGUCACCUAAGGAGAAGCUGUGAGAUCAGAAGGGUGGGGCAGAGGAGCAGACACCAUGAGGGAGAGUCCUUGGGGGUACAUCUGCCAGACUGACACUGUCUGGCCUGGGCAGUGGAGGGGCUAGCAGGAACCACAGGUACUGGUGGUGUGGCUACUACCGUUACAACUGCCUGUGCUUGGACAUGGACCCUCUGCAAUAUGCGGCAGUUUCAUUCAUUGCCCCCUACAUUCUACACCAAGUAGAAAUGGAAGGCAAUUGGAUACUUCACAGACAAGAUCUAAGUGGAGAAGGAAUGCGUCCUGUGGCUGCAGAGAUCCUUGGAGCUUGGAGGGGAGAGCUUGAGCCCCACUGAUGAUGACCUCCCACAGCUCGCCAACUCAGCCCUCCCUAAGUCCCCAUCG
rnacentral:lncRNA from 10 species